rfam:Monosiga brevicollis mitochondrion, complete genome.
GAGCCAGUAGCUCAGUUGGUUAGAGCUAUCCCCUCAUAAGGGAAGGGUCGGAGGUUCAAAUCCUCCCUGGCUUA